rnacentral:rRNA from 1 species
AUUGAACGCUGGCGGUAUGCCUAACACAUGCAAGUCGAACGGCAACACAGUAUGAGCUUCUUCCUAGGGGUGGACAGUGGCGUAAGAGAUCGGAAUACAUCCGAAUCUAGGUUUUAAUGGGGGGAAACCUAGGCAAACACACCCUACGACCUCAUACGGACUACGGGGGAAAUCAGGGCAUCUUCCGACCUUGCCCGACUGAAGGAGCCGAUGUCGGAUUAGGUAGUUGGCGGGGUAAAGGCCCACCAAGGCGACGAUCCGUAGCUGGUCUGAGAGGAUGAUCAGCCACACUGGGACUGAGACACGGUCCAGACUCCUACGGGAGGCAGCAGUGGGGAAUAUUGGACAAUGGGCGAAAGCCUGAUCCAGCCAUGCCGCGUGCAUGAUGAAGGCCUUCGGGUUGUAAAGUGCUUUUGUUCGGAAAGAAAAGCCUCAGGUUAAUACAGAGCUGUUAUGACGGUACCCUAAGAAUAAGCACCGGCUAACUUCGUG